AGAAUCAACGCUGGCGGCGUGCCUAACACAUGCAAGUCGCACGAGAAAGUGGAGCAAUCCACGAGUAAAGUGGCGCACGGGUGAGUAACACGUGACUAACCUACCUUCGAGUGGGGGAUAACAUCGGGAAACCGAUGCUAAUACCGCAUAACAUCGCAAGAUCAAAGCAGCAAUUCGCUUAAGGAGGGGGUCGCGGCCGAUUAGUUAGUUGGCGGGGUAAUGGCCCACCAAGACGAUGAUCGGUA
rnacentral:rRNA from 1 species